AUUGCCCACCAUUUCUAUCCACCACCUCCACCCAUUGUGGUAGCUGGUCGGCCGGCGUUUAGGAAUUUUUCAGCGAGCUCUUUGAUUGUCUGGUCACCACUCAUAACCUUUAACAACUCUCUAACCACUCUGAUAGCUAGCCACCAUCUUUGACCACCUUCCAUCGUUUUCCACCACCUCCAACAACAACUAUAUAUUAUUUUGUUCAUUUACUUUUGAACCCACUACAAGAAAAAGGACAUACAGUGACGUUUUUCUCUAUGACGUUUUUCAAAAACGUCGUGAAAUCUGUCCAGAAUUUUCAAAUUCCAAAAAAAUUAAACUAAACCAUCUCUCGUUUUGUGCCCUGGUUAUUUCUUUUAAACAGUGGCUCAACUCAAGGCUAUGCAAUUCUUCUAUUCAGAUUGAACAGAGGCGUGACUUCAAGAAGAGAGAGAAAUUGAGGCAUCGGAUCUUCGAGGCGUGGGAUCUUCGAUCUCCAUCAAUUCUUUAGUUGUUUGAUCUGAAAAAUCUUGUUCUACUUGUGAUUUGAGCGUAUAUCUCCGUGAUUGUUCGAAUCCCUAUGAUCUAAAUCGAUCUAGGGCUCAAGUCCUUGUGUGGAAAACUCUUCUCUUUCAUCAGAUUGAGCAGUAGCAAUGGUGAAUCGAUUUAUCCAGGGUUUCGAGUGCAGUGUUAGUGUCUCUAAUCAUGUACGGGACAAGCAGGUGGCGUUGGAUGUGGAUCGUCGGUAACAAUGAGUAGAAGCUCAACGGUGAAGAGAUGCAGAUUUUCUCUCUCUAAGAUCAGAUCUGUUCUCUCUCUCUCUCUCUCUCUCUCUCUCUCUCCGAUCUGCUAACAUGGUAAUAUCAUAUCUGCUUUGCCUGAAUAUGUCUGAUAUUGUUACAUUAUAAUUUAUAGGCAUCUCAUUGUUGUUGGUUCUUAAGAAUCUGAUUUCUUCGUGUUUUAGUUUUUGAGACCUCUAUAUUCUUUUGUCGAUAUGGAUUUAAUUUCUUCUCUUCUUCAGUCCUCACUUUCAACACCUUUCCAGUCGGUUUAACCUGCUCAGACAACAGGUUCUUUUGGGUUUGGCAACUUUGGUCAAACACAAGCAGCUGGUACAAGUGGUUUUGGAGGCAUGCCAAGCAUUUUUGGUCAGAGUACUUUUGGACAAUCUUACAUUUUUCCUUUUUUUUUUUUUGUGGUCAUGGACAAUUCCUUUUUUUCAUAUGCGCACAUGACCAUCUCAAUGACACAGGAUGGCUUAGUUUUUUUAUGUGCGCAUUAUGUUAUAGUUUUAUGAGUAUUCAACAUUAUUUCCUUACUUGUCUUUUUGGCCUAGCCCUUGGGUUAGCACUUAAACUGUCAUCAUGUGAAAUUUUGCUUAAUUGUGCAUCUAUUUCUACUUUUAAGCCUUGUUUUGGUACUUUAUGUGACUCUGGUUUGUUUGUAACAGGUCUGUUCCUCAGGGCUCUGCAGUUGCACAACCACUUCCUGUUGUAAAUCCUUUUGGAACUUUACCUGCAAUGCCUCAGAUGUCAAUUGGUCGUUCUAGGAUUGCACCUUCUAUUCAAUAUGGAAUUUCUAGCCUGCCAGUAAGCAUGACUUGUCCUGUCCAGCCAAAAAAAAAAAAAAAAAAAAAAAAGCCUAGAGGAACUAAAAACUAUGAGUAGUUUUAAUUUAUAAUUUAUUUUGGUGGGACUCUGUUUCAAUUUGAUUAUUAAAUUGAAAUUUCAAUUUUCAUUGUUACAUUUUGUUUGUAAUUGUAAUUACCAUGUCUGAACUUCUUUUCUGAAGAGCUAGUUAUGAGAUUUAUCAUGUGCAUGUGGUGACAUAGUUUUCGAAACAGGUUGUUGACAAACCUGCUCCGGUUAGAAUAUCAUCUUUGUUGACUUCUCGCCACCUUUCUCAAAGGCGGAUUAGGUUGCCUGCAAGGAAAUAUCAUCCUAAAAAUGAUGGUCCAAAGGUGAUGAUGAUUCCUCUGGUAAAACUUAGUAUCUCAUUUUAAAAUAGAAAUUAUUACACUUCAUUGCUUAAUUUUGAUAUCCAGGUGCCAUUUUUCACUGAUGAUGAAGAAACUUCGAGCACACCUAAGGUAGAUGCUCUUUUCAUUCCUAGGGAGAAUCCUAGAGCUCUUGUUAUUCGUCCCUUGGAACAGUGGCCUCCAAGAACAAAUGUGGAUAAAUCAUCUCCAUUGAAGGACACAUCUAGUCCAACACAUGAGAAUGCAAGUUUAUAAUCCGCAUAGUGACUAGGUACCUUCCAAGUGUGGUAUUGGUUUUAUUUCUGUAUACUGUUCCCCCAGCAAUGUAUUUGUUUUCAACAAUUGAGGGGGCUAUCUCUCGUAGUAGCGGGAAAAAGAGUGUAUGCUGCAAAGUCCUGUACUUCUUAACCUGGAAUGUUUUCUUUGUAAACAUUCUAUCGGGGAAAGUUAUUGAGCGACUGAGUGUUGUUUCUAGUCCCAAAGAUGUAACCGCCCAACUUGCCACAGCAGUACCAACACAGGCAACAUUCUUUAUGACUUACGUUCUAUCUUUAGGUUGGGCAAGUUUGUCAUUUGAACUCCUGCAACCUUAUGCUCUUCUUUGCAACUUAUUCUACAAAUUCAUUCUUAGAAACAAGGAGGAUCCAUGCACUUUAUCUUUUCCGUGCCAUACGGAAAUUCCAAGAGUUCUCUUGUUAGGGUUCCUUGGCUUCACCUAUUCUAUAAUGGCACCUUUAAUAUUGCCCUUCUUGCUGGUUUACUUUUUUCUUGCUUAUCUCAUGUACCGUAAUCAGGUGAGCAUUUCUAUAUUAUCAAUUGGAUUCGGUUCUACAUAUACUUCUUUCAUUUCCCCCCUUGUUCAUUGAAGUAACUAGUAUUGAAUUAUUAUUUCUGGAUGUUUAUGUUCUUUUGUUUGACUGAAUUAGGUCAUGAUUUUUAUCGUGUUCAUGAUGUAUAGUUUGCUUAUACUUUACUUGUAUAUCUGUUCUUUUUUUGGAUGUUCUGCAAUGUUGUCUGAUUUUGCACUUUGAAUUCUUACUUCAAUUUUUUAUUAAUAUUUAUUUA